UGGGGAAUAUUGCACAAUGGAGGGAACUCUGAUGCAGCGACGCCGCGUGAACGAAGAAGGCUUUCGAGUCGUAAAGUUCUUUUAUAUGGGAAGAUAAUGACGGUACCAUAAGAAAAAGCUCCGGCUAACUACGUGCCAGCAGCCGCGGUAAUACGUAGGGGGCUAGCGUUGUCCGGAAUCACUGGGCGUAAAGGGUUCGCAGGCGGAAAUGCAAGUCAGGUGUAAAAGGCAGUAGCUUAACUACUGUAAGCAUUUGAAACUGCAUAUCUUGAGAAGAGUAGAGGUAAGUGGAAUUUUUAGUGUAGCGGUGAAAUGCGUAGAUAUUAAAAAGAAUACCGGUGGCGAAGGCGACUUACUGAGCUCAUUCUGACGCUAAGGAACGAAAGCGUGGGUAGCAAACAGG
rnacentral:rRNA from 1 species